rnacentral:rRNA from 1 species
UGGGGAAUAUUGCACAAUGGGCGAAAGCCUGAUGCAGCAACGCCGCGUGAGGGAUGACGGCCUUCGGGUUGUAAACCUCUUUUAGUAGGGAAGAAGCGAAAGUGACGGUACCCGCAGAAAAAGCACCGGCUAACUACGUGCCAGCAGCCGCGGUAAUACGUAGGGUGCAAGCGUUGUCCGGAAUUAUUGGGCGUAAAGAGCUCGUAGGCGGUUUGUCGCGUCUGCUGUGAAAUCCCGAGGCUCAACCUCGGGCUUGCAGUGGGUACGGGCAGACUAGAGUGCGGUAGGGGAGAUUGGAAUUCCUGGUGUAGCGGUGGAAUGCGCAGAUAUCAGGAGGAACACCGAUGGCGAAGGCAGAUCUCUGGGCCGUAACUGACGCUGAGGAGCGAAAGCAUGGGGAGCGAACAG